GAUGAACGCUGGCGGCGUGCCUAAUACAUGCAAGUCGAGCGAAUGGAUUAAGAGCUUGCUCUUAUGAAGUUAGCGGCGGACGGGUGAGUAACACGUGGGUAACCUGCCCAUAAGACUGGGAUAACUCCGGGAAACCGGGGCUAAUACCGGAUAACAUUUUGAACCGCAUGGUUCGAAAUUGAAAGGCGGCUUCGGCUGUCACUUAUGGAUGGACCCGCGUCGCAUUAGCUAGUUGGUGAGGUAACGGCUCACCAAGGCAACGAUGCGUAGCCGACCUGCGAGGGUGAUCGGCCACACUGGGAGUGAGACACGGCCCAGACUCCUGCGGGAGGCAGCAGUAGGGAAUCUUCCGCAAUGGACGAAAGGCUGACGGAGCAACGCCGCGUGAGUGAUGAAGGCUUUCGGGUCGUAAAACUCUGUUGUUAGGGAAGAACAAGUGCUAGUUGAAUAAGCUGGCACCUUGACGGUACCUAACCAGAAAGCCACGGCUAACUACGUGCCAGCCGCCGCGGUAA
rnacentral:rRNA from 1 species